UCUUCCUACGGGGCGCAGCAGUGGGGAAUAUUGCACAAUGGGGGAAACCCUGAUGCAGCGACGCCGCGUGAGUGAAGAAGUAUUUCGGUAUGUAAAGCUCUAUCAGCAGGGAAGAAGCAAGACGGUACCUGACUAAGAAGCCCCGGCUAACUACGUGCCAGCAGCCGCGGUAAUACGUAUGGUGCAAGCGUUAUCCGGAUUUACUGGGUGUAAAGGGAGCGCAGGCGGUGCGGCAAGUCUGAUGUGAAAG
rnacentral:rRNA from 1 species